GACGAACGCUGGCGGCGUGCUUAACACAUGCAAGUCGAACGGAAAGACCCGGCGUUUGUGGGUUGGUCGAGUGGCGAACGGGGGAGUAACACGUGAGUAACCUGCCCUUAACUUAGGGAGAACUUCAGGAAACUGCGGCUAAUACCGGAUAGGAUCUCCUGCUGCGUGGUGGGGGUUGGAGAGUGUCGGCGGUUGGGGCUGGACUCGCGGCUUAUCAGCUGGUUGGUCGGGUAGUGGCUUUCCAGGGCUUUGACGGGUAGCCGGCCUGAGAGGGUGAACGGGCACAUUGGGACUGCGAGACGGCGCAGACGCGUACGGGAGGCAGCAGUGGGGAAUCUUGCACAAUGGGGGGAAGCCUGAUGCAGAAACGCCCCGUGCGGGAUGACGGCCUUCGGGUUGUAAACCGAUUUGGCCGGUGACGAAGCGGGCGUGACGGUAAUGGGUAAAGAAGCACCGGCUAACUACGUG
rnacentral:rRNA from 1 species